AGAGACAGAGACAGUGUGUACCAUUUUAUAAUAUGAGAGCUCUGCAUCUUCUAAGACCUGAGGAAGGUCAUCCCAGCUUUCUGUCAGGAAAGGAAACAGCACUUCUCAAAAAAUAGAAAGAGCAUGAUAUGGAGCUGGAGAGGAGGGGAGAGGAGAACAGAAGGCAAGGUGGGAAAGGACACCUGGCAGAGACAACAUCUGGAUCCUGAACCUGGAGGAGAAAUCCACUUAUAUCUCACUUUAGAUUUGCCAGCUGCUUUUAUUUUUAUUUGGACUUACAGAAAGGUUGAGAAGAAAAUACGGGAGUGAACUGUAGCAAUAAACGGUUUGUGGGUAAUUUUGGUACUUUAAUGUGGCUUCUAAAAUGUGUACUACAUGACUUAGGAAGGAAUAUUUAAGGAGCCCAGCUGCACUAACGUGGGUUGCUAUUGUGUUAUUACUAAAAUAGCUGAGAGAGACUCUCUGUGCAGUCACCCUAAGUGAGUUAUUUUGAGUGAGUUGCUAUGGUGGUAUGACCUGCAUGUAUGACUAAACAUACAAAAAAGCCAAAAGGCCAGAAAUGAAGUGUCAGCUAUGAAGAUGCUAGUGAUAAAAGCCUACCCCAAAGCAAUGACAGAUACUUUGAAAAUACUUUGAGGGAAUAAAGCACUCUUAGGGAACACAGGGUUUGAAGUAGGACUGUGUUGUUAUUAUUGAGUUAUUUUCCAAUAAUUUUCGAGAGUCUGCCACAGCUUUGAGGCCAGUCUUUUAUAUCAUUGCCCAGGCAGGGGCUCCAUAGCUCAGGGGUUAGAGCACUGCUCUUGUAGUAUCAUUGCCCUACACAAGUGAAUUUGGGUAAAAAGGAAAACAGAAGGAACUUUAACAGGCAAGUAUGGAGACUGAAGUUCCACAGUAGCCCCUAGCACCAAAUAAAAGUACAACAGGUCUCAAUCAUCACUUCCAGGCAUUGAGAGAAGAAGUGCGAUUUUUGAGUCUUGACUUUUGGAAUCUGCAAGAGUAAGUAAAUGGCUCUCUGUGUCUGUCUGGUGCCUAGGGCCAGCUCUCUCCUCUGACACUGUCCUCAUUAGCAUGCUAGGUGAGCAUGACAACUCCGCUAGUCAGAUAUCACUACAUCCUCAACUUCACAGAGGUGGUCUCUCAUCUACCAUAUUUUCUGAACACCAAUUCACAGUGCAGUACUGGGCAAGCUACAUAAAAAUUUCCUGCGAAGUUUGUAACAUUUUUUUAAAGCUAAAAAUUAGAGAUUCUGAUUCUGGCCUGAACCUUGGGAAUGUGUAUUUUUUAAAAGUUUCCCGAGUGAUUUUCAUGGGGAAUUAGUUUAAAAAACACUGGUAUAGACUUUCCACUUUGGAAUUUAAUCAGGUUGUGUUUUUUUAAAUUUCACCUAUUGCUGUGUUGGGGCUACUUACCUAGAUGUGAGGGCUAUAUGACCCCACCCCUAUCAACAGCACUCCAAAUACUGACCAAAUGAAUGAAUGAAUGAAUGAAUGAGGUUGCAUUCGGAGUCAGAGGACCAAAAGGAAGAAUGUCUUCUUCAUGGUAUGGUCCCCACAUUACUUGGAAAAGAAUUAUAAAUCCCUCUUUCUAAAGAAAGAAAAAAAGAGAAAGGCAGGCAGGCAGGCAAAAAGGAGUGAAGGAAGGAAAGAAGAAAGGAAGGGAGGGAGGGAGGGAAGAGAGAGAGAGGCAGGAGGGAAAGGAAAGAGGGAGGAAUUUCAUAAAUAUUUACAUAAAAUCAUCUUUGUUCCUGGGAGCUGAGCCAUAAAUCUCUGAAGAGACCAUUGGAUCAGUAAGGCCUGGGAGCUGUGAGUACAGUGAUAGCUGUUAGCUCUGGCCCACUCUUGAGUGAGCUGAACGUUUGAGCUAUGAGGGCAUCCUUCCCCCACAAAAUUUCCCCAGUGAGGAGCUCGUGCACCCCAUCUGUGCAUCAGCCCCACUGACAAACUUUCCUGUCCGCCAUCCCUGGUCCAUAUGGCUCAACUGGGACUCCUCUCCUGGCGGUCACCAUAGUCCCCCCUUAAAAGUUUGAAGGUAGCUCAGAUUCCAUCUAUCAGGGUGAAAACCCUGUGUCUUGCUCAGGAAUAUUCUUCCUCGUCAGCUGUAAGAAAAGAAACAAAAAUUAAUAUUUACGUCCACAUGCUGUUUCUUUCCAUCCACCCCACCCUGAGUCACCUUUGGACUUGACC
rnacentral:lncRNA from 1 species